UACGGGGGGGGGCAAGCGUUGUCCGGAAUCAUUGGGCGUAAAGAGCGUGUAGGCGGCCCGGUAAGUCCGCUGUGAAAGUCCAGGGCUCAACCCUGGGAUGCCGGUGGAUACUGUCGGGCUCGAGUCCGGAAGAGGAGUGUGGAAUUCCUGGUGUAGCGGUGAAAUGCGCAGAUAUCAGGAGGAACACCAAUGGCGAAGGCAGCACUCUGGGACGUGACUGACGCUGAGACGCGAAAGCGUGGGGAGCAAACAGG
rnacentral:rRNA from 1 species